AGGAUGCUAGCCUACUAUAUCUUGAAAUUUUGAUUCCUAGCUUUCUUCCGCAUUCAGCAACAAUUCAGACAAGCAUCUCUGCGCUAGAUACAUCUCUCUCUCCCUAUUUUCUAGCGAGAAAUUCUCUCAAAAGCUCUCUCUUCUUAGGCUAGAGAUCUAGUUCCCGUUUCUCAGCUGCCUCGAGCCGUCCCUUACCCUGCACAUAAGGUUUGUGUUUGGUUUUAUUUCUCAACUGCCUUGAGCUAUCCCUUAUCCUUCUUCUCCUUCUCAAGACAUGGGCUUCACUCCUCAUCACUGGGCUUCCAUGUAUAUAGUUAGUUUU
rnacentral:misc_RNA from 1 species